UUGUAGCUCAGUGGUAGAGUGCUUGCCUGGCAUGCAAGAGGCUCUGGUUCCUAUCUCCAGCAA
rnacentral:tRNA from 1 species